GUGUAUAUGUGUAUAUACACACACACACACACACACAUAUAUAUAUGUGUGUGUAUAUAUGCAUAUAUUU